UACGGAGGGGGCUAGCGUUGUUCGGAAUUACUGGGCGUAAAGCGCACGUAGGCGGCGAUCUAAGUCAGAGGUGAAAGCCCGGGGCUCAACCCCGGAACUGCCUUUGAGACUGGAUUGCUAGAAUCACGGGAGAGGUGGGUGGAAUUCCGAGUGUAGAGGUGAAAUUCGUAGAUAUUCGGAAGAACACCAGUGGCGAAGGCGGCCCACUGGACGUGUAUUGACGCUGAGGUGCGAAAGCGUGGGGAGCAAACAGG
rnacentral:rRNA from 1 species